rnacentral:SRP_RNA from 1 species
GCCGGGGGUGGUGGCUCACGCCUGUAAUCCCAGCACUUUGGGAGGCUGAGGCGGGCAGAUCACGAGGUAAGAUCGAGACCAUCCUGGCUAACACGGUGAAACCCCAUCUUUACUAAAAAUNNNNNNNNNNGUAUUUUUAGUAAAGAUGGGGUUUCACCGUGUUAGCCAGGAUGGUCUCGAUCUUACCUCGUGAUCUGCCCGCCUCAG